AGGCUGUCUUGGAAAAGGCCUGGAAUCAGCCAUAAGUUUUCUGGAACUCCAGUGGCAAAAGACAUUUUUGCCCACUGAAUGAUAGAGCCAUGUGGUCAUUGCUAGAAAAACAGGCAACACCACACAAAACACAAGACAACGCUCAAAACACAAAACUUUUGCCAACGACAAGCAGAGUUCCACAGAGUCUCCACGCUUAAGCAAACAUUGAUGAACCGAAACAGAAAACGUUUAAGACAGUUUGGUAAAGCUGGGCG